rnacentral:rRNA from 1 species
UACGUAGGGUGCGAGCGUUUAAUCGGAAUUACUGGGCGUAAAGCGUGCGCAGGCGGUUUUGCAAGCCGGAUGUGAAAUCCCCGGGCUUAACCUGGGAACUGCAUUGGUGACUGCAUUGCUGGAGUAUGGCAGAGGGGGGUGGAAUUCCACGGUGUAGCAGUGAAAUGCGCAGAUAUCAGGAGGAACACCAAUGGCGAAGGCAGCUCGCUGGGGACGUGACUGACGCUGAGACGCGAAAGCGUGGGGAGCAAACAGG